rnacentral:rRNA from 1 species
GCAUAUCAAUAAGCGGAGGAAAAGAAACCAACAGGGAUUGCCCUAGUAACGGCGAGUGAAGCGGCAACAGCUCAAAUUUGAAAUCUGGCGUCUUUGGCGUCCGAGUUGUAAUUUGCAGAGGGCGCUUUGGCAUUGGCAGCGGUCCAAGUUCCUUGGAACAGGACGUCACAGAGGGUGAGAAUCCCGUACGUGGUCGCUAGCCUUUACCGUGUAAAGCCCCUUCGACGAGUCGAGUUGUUUGGGAAUGCAGCUCUAAAUGGGAGGUAAAUUUCUUCUAAAGCUAAAUACUGGCCAGAGACCGAUAGCGCACAAGUAGAGUGAUCGAAAGAUGAAAAGCACUUUGGAAAGAGAGUUAAAAAGCACGUGAAAUUGUUGAAAGGGAAGCGCUUGCAGCCAGACUUGCCUGUAGUUGCUCAUCCGGGUUUUUACCCGGUGCACUCUUCUACGGGCAGGCCAGCAUCAGUUUGGGCGGUUGGAUAAAGGUCUCUGUCAUGUACCUCCUCUCGGGGAGAUCUUAUAGGGGAGACGACAUGCAACCAGCCUGGACUGAGGUCCGCGC